rnacentral:ncRNA from 1 species
AGAACUGAUAAUUCAAAAGGUGGAAUGACGGAGUAACGCCCCGAAACGCCUACCCUGAGGUUACGCUAUGCAAAGCUGUGUGUAAUAACGGCAAUGUGUAAAGCGCGUUAAAGUCGGCAGAGAGCAGUCCAAACGGAUAAUGCCGUGGAAAUCUGUUCAGAGGUGAAUGGUACUGCCUAUAUGCCGGGGGUCUAUAAA